rfam:Oryza sativa (indica cultivar-group) chromosome 4, whole genome shotgun sequence.
CCUUCUCAUAUUCUCUCUUAUUCAUGUCUAACGUUUAAUCGUUCGUUUUAUUUAAAAAUUUUUUAUGAUUAAUAUUUUUAUUUUUACUAGAUGAUAAAACAUGAAUAGUACUUUACGUGUGACUAUUUUUUUUUAAUUUUUUCAUAAAUUUUUUAAAUAAGACGGACGGUCAAACGUUGGACACGGAUUCACACGGCUGCACUUAUU